UAAUGAUGGUGAGGGCAUUUUUUAGCAUACUUUUAAAUCUCUCCCAAGCUUGGUAGAGAUUCUCUCCUUUUUACUGUUUGAAACUCACAAUCUCGCUUCUCAAGCG
rnacentral:snoRNA from 1 species